UGCACCCAGGUGACAGUCUGGGCCCCUGGGAUGCCCUGCCAGGCAGCCUGGGCCUGCUGGGAAGCACUGCUUCCACCUGUUAGUGCUCCAGGGCUUUAAAGAAGAUUAUUUGCACAGUCAGAGAUGGAGCUACACCCUCAGGAAUCACUUCACCCCUGAGCCUGAGUGUGUCUGAGGAGAGUGCAGGAGGAGCUGAGAAGUGCAGGGGGAAGAGAGUCAGAUUUACAGAUCUGUCAACACAGGGCACCAACAUGUUGCACCAAAAAAAUGGAAGAAAGCUACCAGGCAGCUGUCCGAAGGGAGAGGACUCAGAGCAUCCAGGCACUGAACUUUGAGCUGAAGUACAUGAUAGUUGGUCACAUCACAGCUUUUCAAGAGGCGUUUGAGUCUUUGCUUCGCUUUGCUGAAAACCGCACGAGUUCCCUGUUUGAGACAGCUUACAGACCUAUGGCAAAAGAAGCAGCAGAGCCUGUUAAGGAGCUUUUUACAGACAUCUCUCUCUACAUUCUGGGCGCAGAGACCACAGUGGAAAGUGCAGUACUGCGGUUCUUUGACAGUCUCUUUCCUCUGGUGUACAGCCGGCUAAUAAACCCAGGAAUUACAGAUCUGUCAGAGGACUAUACGGAGUGUCUGCGGCUUACAAGGCAAGACAUAAAUCCUUUUGGACACUAUUCCAAAAACAUGGUUACAGAGCUGUCAAAAUCUCUUUGGGCCAGCAGGAUGCUGAGCCAGGCCCUGAGCCUGGGCAUUGAAGUGAUAAAUACGACUGAGCACGCCGCUGUGAGCAAGGAGUGCAGCAGGGCCCUGGUGAAGAUGCAGUACUGCCCGCACUGCCAGGGCCUGACGCUCAUCAGGCCCUGUGUGGGAUAUUGUCUCAAUGUCAUGAGGGGCUGCCUGGCCAGCGUGGCAGAGCUGGAUGCUCAGUGGAGGGAGUUCAUCUCCACGCUGGAAUAUCUGACUAAUGAAAUGGCAGCCUCCCACGAGCUGGAGAUGGCUCUGUCGGGGAUCUGGAGCUCCAUCAACGAGGCCAUCCUGCACGCGCAGCUGAACGGGCCGCAGCUCUCCGCUACCGUUGAUAAAGUGUGUGGCCAGCCCAAGCAGCAAGAAGGGAACCUGUCAUCAGCCAAUAUUGUGCCAGUGAAGGAAGUGACCGAAACCCAGACAUUUGUGAUGGCUCACACCAGCCUGAACAAUAAAAGAAGUUCUCUGCCUCUGAAAGCUUCAAAGAAUGACAAAUCAAGAAGUUUGAAAAAAAUCUCUCGAGAGUUCAUCAAUUACAUGAAGCGAUCCCGAACCUUUUAUGCCUCUAUAGCAGAAAGGCUUUGUGAUGGAGACCUGGUGAUGAGAGACAGCUCAACCUGCUGGAAUGGAGAGGAUGUUGUAGAAAGCAAUGAGGCAACAUCACCCUGAGGAGAAAAGAGAUGUUUAGAGCACAACUGUAUCUUUACUACCACUGUCAAGAGAAGUUCCAUGGGAUUGUGUUGCCUUUCAUGAUGUUUCAUGAUGUGGGUCAUGAUGUGGAUUUUGUGGUCUGUAGCAGUGAUUA